GGAUUAGAUACCCUGGUAGUCCACGCCGUAAACGAUGUGUGCUAGACGUCGGGGGUUACGCCUUCGGUGUCGCAGCUAACGCAUUAAGCACACCGCCUGGGGAGUACGGCCGCAAGGUUAAAACUCAAAGGAAUUGACGGGGGCCCGCACAAGCGGUGGAGCAUGUGGUUUAAUUCGACGCAACGCGCAGAACCUUACCAGCCCUUGACAUGGGGAGUGUGGUUACCGGAGACGGUUUCCUUCAGUUCGGCUGGCUCCCACACAGGUGCUGCAUGGCUGUCGUCAGCUCGUGCCG
rnacentral:rRNA from 1 species